rnacentral:rRNA from 1 species
CUAAUACAUGCAGUCGAACGCUUCUUUUUCCACCGGAGCUUGCUCCACCGGAAAAAGAGGAGUGGCGAACGGGUGAGUAACACGUGGGUAACCUGCCCAUCAGAAGGGGAUAACACUUGGAAACAGGUGCUAAUACCGUAUAACAAUCGAAACCGCAUGGUUUUGAUUUGAAAGGCGCUUUCGGGUGUCGCUGAUGGAUGGACCCGCGGUGCAUUAGCUAGUUGGUGAGGUAACGGCUCACCAAGGCGACGAUGCAUAGCCGACCUGAGAGGGUGAUCGGCCACAUUGGGACUGAGACACGGCCCAACCUCCUACGGAAGUUUUCAAUUUUUUUUUUUGGCGGGAUGCAUGAUAGUCUGACCGAGAGCCGCCGCGUGAGUGAAGAAUGUUUCUCAUCGCAAAAAUCUGUGGUGAGACAAAAAAACGCCCAAGAGAGUCACUGCUCCCCCCUUGACGCCCUCACACCAAAAUGCCACUGCUUUCUACGUGCCAGCAGCCGUGGAAAUACCUAAGUGACAUGCCUUGUCCGGACUU